rnacentral:lncRNA from 1 species
CUGAGGCUCAAGAACUGCUGAACCCAGGGGACAGAGUGUACAUUUCCUAGUCCAAACUCGGGUGAGAGAAGGCCUGAGGUAAAACAUUUUCAGGAUAGACGUGCAAUUUUCGUCCAAAGUCCAAAGAAUGAGUACUGUGCCACGAAAUUCCAGCCUCCUUCACCUCUCUGAACUCUGGUGUGUGUGUCUUUAAUUCGGUGAGAUCAAUGGGAUCUUCCUGUGUUUGCCCUCCCAUAGAAGGCACCAUGUUUUGUAAUGUGUCUUCAUGAAAAAAGCCGUGAUGAUAUCAGUCUCAGUCUCAGUCUCUGCUUUUUUC